GACAGACACUCUCUCUAGCUUCCUAGAGAGAGAAGGACUGCUCUGUCUAGGAAGUAAAGAAGGGUUGGUAGGGUGGAGCAGGGCUGGGGAAGGGCAGAGGGAGCUGAGGUGCUCCAGUUGAGCAAACCCCCAGGCUGCAGGCCUAGUUAAGGACCACACAAAAAGUACUAGCAGGGUAUCUGAAGUGGAGCAGUGCUGGAGAAGGGCAGAGGGAGCUGGGGAGCUCCAGCCUUGCAAAGCUGCAGGCCUAGUGAAAGGGUCCUGGGGCUUCAGAGGGGCAGCCCAGAGAUGGGCAGAUGCAGCUGGUCCAACUCCCCUUGCUGAUGAUGAGUGGUUCGUAGACUGCAGUCUGCCCCAGGGAGUGGGGACUAGAUGGAGACUGGCAGUGGCCAAUGAGGCAAGGUGGGGGUAGAGGGUUGGGGGAUCCCAUGGGUGGGGAGACUUAGAUUGUGGGUUACUGCUGGGGCAGAACCCUGACAAGGAGAGCACUCUGGUCUGGGAGGGACACAGGGGGCCAGUGGCAGGCAAGACACCAGCCUGCAGAGGGUGCUCCUGGCUGGAAGAGCUAAUUCCCAGGAUUACUGACAGGAGGCACCACACUGGUCUAAUUCUCACUAGAACAUGCCUGCCAAACUCUUCCAUCACUGUGUGAGAACCAGCUACUUAUCUGCUUGGCUCAGUGCUGAGUGAACAGGGAGCACUAGCCUAUCUCGGCUGGCUGAGUGUCUGGCAGAAAAGUGCAGCUGUCUCCAAGAUCAACAAAACCAAAGAAACCCAACCCGCCGGCCUCCAACCGCUGUUCUCAUUGGUAGUCUCCACUGCAAAGCAAGCCAAAGUCAGUCCUGUCACCCUCGUCCUGUGUGUUUGCAUCUCGCAUGCAGAUUAUCACUGCAAGCUGCCAAGAGAAUUGGGGAGGGCAGAAAUCCGCUUCAAAGAAUGUCAGAACGAAAGAUGAGUUAAUGUGAGUGGUGCUUUCAUGCUCUCCCAUCAUCUCCAGCCAUCUUUCAGUGAGGAAGAAUUGAGGGAGGGGGUUUCCUGUACCAGAACUGAAAGCAUGUUACAUUUGGCAUAUAAAGAAGAGACGAGGGUAGAUUUGAUCUGUUGCUUGGUCCAGUGUUUAUACCCACCCCCUCCUCCCACGGUUUGUCUCAGUGGGGAAUUGCUCUUGUGACUGACUGGGCAUUUCUUGCUGUUCCAGCUCAUCAGCAGCAGCAGUGAGAUGUGUGCUUUGGCAGUCUGCAGUCCUGGCUGAGUGUUUCCUUUCUGGCUGGCUCAGGGGGAAGGAGAGGAAAAGGGAAACUUUAGAUGUUCUCUAGGAGGCUUUUUGCAAAAAGGACUGAGCAUUUCACAGUGUGAAGCCAGCGGUGGUGGUGUGAUGGGUCCAGUGAGGUUGGAGCCUCGAGGCAAGCUGGACAACUGGGAUGCUGGGCUUUCUAAAAUACCUGACCAAGUCUGAGAGAAGGAAGCCGCUUAGAACUCAGCUGGUGCCUCGUGAAAUGAUCUGGAAAAGAACUAGAGGCACAUUUGCUAAAGUGGGAGUGCAAAUGGACAAAGGAGAUGGUAAAAAUGACAAGGCCACAUACAGAUUCUCUCCAUCACUUCCCCAUCCUUUUUGAUCAGCUUAAAAAAUCAAAGGCUGAUUUUUCUACCUGCCAGCCCUAAAAAGCUUGUGCUCGUGUCUGGAAGCCUUGCUGGGCUCGUUCUGGCUCAUGGAUUAUCAGUGCAGCUGAUCAAAUGACGUUUUGUGAAUUAUAUUAGCUGUGCUUUUCCUCUGUCCUGCUCCCAAGCUCCCUUUCAGUGUCUUAAUUAUUCAUAUGAAUUUAUUGAGUAGUUGGAAUGAACAAUUUUCUGUCAGUGGGUUGUUCGCAAAUGGGUUUGCGGCAGUGAGUUGCUGCUCACAAUGAGUCACUGAUUUCCUAGACACAUUGAUUUUGGUCCCUGAUUGGAUGCCUGAUCCUUUUUAAUAGGAUAAUGAAAGCUGCUGUUCAGCACAAUUGCCCUAGUUCCCACAAGAAGACUGGUGUAGUCACAUGUAGAGCUGUCAUGGUCUAAAACAGGGGUCUCAAACUCAAAUGACCAUGAGGGCCACAUAAGAACUAGUACAUUGGCCUGAGGGCCACAACACUGACCCCACCCCCCCACUGCCCCCAGGGUGUGGCAGGGGGUUGAGGUGCAGGAGGGGUGUGGGGUGCUGCAGGAGGGAUUUGGGAGAGGUGGGCUCUGCCCCCAUGCCACUCCGCUCUGGGAAGCAGCUGGGACCUGGGGGGAGGGAGGGCAUAGGAGUCUGUGUUGGCCUGGCUGUGCCUCCAGGCACUGCCCCCCACAGCUCCCAUUGGCUGGGAACAAGGAACCAUGGCCACUGGGAGCUUUGGGGAAGGUACCUGGCACAUCCAGAGCAACACAGACCCCUACAUCCCCUCUCCCCCAGGUUCUGGCCGCUGCCUGGAGUGGCACAGGGGCAAGGCAGGCAGGCGAGGAGCCUGCCCUGCCCUGGUGUGUGCCAGGCCAGAGCCGCUCUAGGUAAAUGGCAGGGAGGCCACAGGGAGCUGGUGGGCUGCAGAAAAUAACCCCAUGGGCUGUGUGUUUGAGACACCUGGUUUAAAACCCCAUGUACCUGAAUGGUCGCAAAGAGCCACAAAGAGAUGCUAAUCUAGACUAUACUGGUCUAAGCUCUGAUCUACACACAGCUUUUGUCCUAAUUUAACUAUUUCAGGUAUGUGUAUGAUUCCCCCCAAUAAUUAAAUCAGUACUGUGCACACAGUUAUCCUAGAAUAGCAUUUAUUGGAAUAAGCUAUACUAAUCAUCUUUAUACUGCAUCCACACUAUGGGUUGUAUUGCUUUAUUCACUGUAUUAGCCUAGUUAAAAGCAGUGUGGUGUUUUUGUUUUGUUUUUUUUUUUGGCGUGGACAAGACUCAAAUGGCAAUUUAGAGUUUGAAUGAACGAUCCCAAACAGAUGGGCAACAGACUAUAUUCAGGCUGAUUUCAAAGGGUGUCCUUAAGUUUGGGAUAAACAUAAAUUUCUCAUUGGGGGCAGCAUGACUUAGUGGAAUAAGGAUGGGACUCCUGGAUUCUAUUCUAGGCUCUGAUAGUGUGACCUUGGGUAACUUCCCUGACCUCUCUGCAUCUCAAUGUCUGCAUCUGCAGUGCCACUGAAUCAUGUUAAAACAGUUGCUAUAUUCCAUGCCAGAGGCUGCCCUUUGCCUCUAGGUUGUGUAACAUUUGUAAAAGUGCUUAGAGACCCUGUCAUGAUGCAAGACCCAAUAUUAGUCAUAGGGAUGUCACAAAGCACCGAAUAGUUACAUUCUAACCCUUUGUUAACUUUUAGUUCCAGCAGAAGUUGUGGCAUGUGACAGGAGUUUUCUAUUUAUUAGUCCUGCUAAUUUUGCAGCUGCAGCUUGAAGCACAAAAGGCAUCAAGCAAUUGUCCAGAAUCAAGAUUCCAAGCCACCCCAUCCAGCUGACAGUUGAUGCCACUUUGAGAGACCAGGCACUAGGUUUGAUCCAACUGCCACCAGGUCCUGUACAAUCUGACUGAUGUGCAAAGGUCAAGGCUCAAUUGCAAUGGGAGGUGGGAGGGCUGCUAAAUGCCAGAUUCUCACAGCGAUGUGAAACUCCACCAGGGAGGCUGUAAAAACAGAUGCAAGCACAGGAAAUAAUAGCCAAUAAGCAGGACUUCCAAGACAAUCAUGUUCUCAUUUUGGUGUCAAGCAGCAGACCAGGAAUGAGGGGAAAAAAUCCCAUUCCCCUUGCUCUUUGGUGGUAAUGGCUUUGUAAUCUCAGCAGAACCUCCAGCCCCUAGGGUUUGUCUGAAAGUUCUCACCCUACCUGGCUCAGCCCCACAAGCAUCCAUGCUGCACACUACGCAGAGCUGAUCCUUCUGAACUCAGUGUGCCCCAUCUGUAUGGCAGUAACAGGAAGCUUCAUUCCUUUACUUUGAAGUAAGUGACGUUUUUCUAAAUGUACAUACUGGUGCCCAGAUACCGCAGGGAUGAUUGCCUAAGAAAUAUACAUUCUACUAAAGAUGAGGAAGAGGAUCCAUGGGGGUGUCUGAACUAUACAACAGAGGGCCUUACUGAUCAUACACUUUCUUGGCCCAACAGCUAGCCUGCCAAGACAGGUAGAUACUUCCAGAAGAAACAAAGUGUGUGUCUUCAGGUGGCCCAUAUGCAGAGGUAUGUAAAACCAGCUAGUUUGCUGGGGGCUUGACCCUGCCCCCAGCCUGUCAGGCCAUGCCCUAGAGGGCACCAGUGGUUGUUAGCUGAGCUACUUUUCAUGAGUUCUCUUCUGCACCAGAUGGGAAUCCCACUCCACACUGAUACCAUAGGGCCUGAAGAAGAGACUAUCAACACCCUUUCCUUGCCUCGCUAGUGCAUCUAUGUAACAUAGGGCAUGAAUUGUCCCAUAUAUUUUACUUUACUUCACUUCAUUUCCUUUUCAUAGCGCAGGUGGAUUUCAGAUGAGAAUGGAGAGGAACCAUGACCCAGGUGAAUUAAAACUGACAGCAAGAAGAUUGUUGUAUCCAAAUCACUGAAAACCAACUAGCAUUGACUUCAUAGGGGUGCCAGGACAGCCAGUUUCAGCAGAGCGAGAGGCCAUCCUGAGUCUGCAUGCAGUUGCAGCUGAAUCCACAAAGAUACUGACCAACUGGAGGGAGUUCAGAGAAGACCAAAGAUGAGCAGCAGGCUGAAAGGAAUGGCUUUUGAGAAUGGGGUGGGAGGCAUGACCUCUGUAAGAAACACACUGGAGUUUACAGCCAAGACAUCCUGGCUGCAAUCAAGGAAUAUCCUGCUGCAGCCUUGGGGCUGUGCUAGAUAAAUAGGAGAAAGAAGGAAGGGGAGGGGAUUAGAGGCUUUGCUACAGAUUGCAGGCCCUAGCACACUCACCUGACCUUGGCCCUAGAGACUUCUGAUUUUUUCAGACUGUAAAUAGGUUUCUGUGAAACCUUAUGAGCCUUCCUGGAUGCCAAAAGGGAGAGCCUGCCUGCCUCCUAGAAUAAUAGAACUAGGAACCCUGUUGUCUGGGUUUGUUUUGGAGGCCCUCUUAAAUGGGACACUUUUGGUUGGUUUUUUUUUUUGGCCUUUUACUUAAAUCCCAACUGAGAGCUUCAUAGCUACACUGGUAUAACCUUACUUGGCAUAUGUCUACACUGGAGGUAGGAGUCAAUUCCCAGCAUGGGUAGAUAGACUUGUACUAGUGGGGCUUGAGCUAGCAUGCUCAAAAUAGCAAUGUAGAUGCUGCUGUACCAGUGGAGACUGAGGCUAGCCACCCAAACUCUGACCCAGGGAGUCAGGUGUGUCUAUUGGGGCAUGGAGGCUCACUCCUAGCUGCAGUAUAGACAUACCCAAGUGAUGCCUAAUUGGGGUGGAGGGCCAAUUUGUCUACAAAUGAUCUCCUGGGGGUAAAUACCUAGGAGGGAGAAUUAUUUCAGGUGGUUUAAGGGGGUUUCAGUGGGAACAGCAGGAUGAAAUUAAAGGAAAUAUUUUGGUUGAGUGUUAGGAAAAACUUCCUGCCAGUGAGCUGCACAGGGUGUGGACUAGUCUCUCAAAGGGAGCAGUGAAAUGGGGGGUAAAAAAAAUUACAUCAGUUGGGACACAUAAAACUAGACUGGACAAUGCACUAAUCCAUCUAGGGAUUAGACUAGGUAGGUCUCUUCCAUCUCUAAUGUCUGAUCCUGUGAAACCAGGAGGAAUGAAAGUAAAAACAGUCAAUAAAACCUCUUUAGAAUAUUGUUUCUAUUUGCUGUGAUGGUGAGUGAAAGGGUCAGGAGAGCUGUUAAUGUAACUGAAUUGGUUUGCCUGUCCAUAAUUAGCAGGGGUGUGUCCAACAAUUGAAUAUUAGCUGACACUGCCAAUGUGGUAAAGUAGAGAGAAGAUCUAGAAGGAUAAAGCUCUUACCUGUAAC